UACAGAGGUCUCAAGCGUUGUUCGGAUUCAUUGGGCGUAAAGGGUGCGUAGGUGGCGCCGUAAGUCGGGUGUGAAAUUUCGGAGCUUAACUCCGAAACUGCAUUCGAUACUGCGGUGCUUGAGGACUGGAGAGGAGACUGGAAUUCAUGGUGUAGCAGUGAAAUGCGUAGAGAUCAUGAGGAAGACCAGUGGCGAAGGCGGGUCUCUGGACAGUUCCUGACACUGAGGCACGAAGGCCAGGGGAGCAAACAGG
rnacentral:rRNA from 1 species